rnacentral:tRNA from 1 species
GGGGAUAUAGCUCAGCUGGUAGAGUUUUUUGCCUUCCAUGCACAAAGCCCUGGGUUCAAUCCCCAGCACCAUCA